AGUAUCUGAAGAGAAUAAAAAUGGUGCUUUUAAAUCAUUUCUAAUCAUGGCUCAAUAUGUGACUGUUUCAUCCACUGACACAUUCCUGAAGACCCAGGGUGAAGACAUUCAAGGCAGUUGUCUUUAUGGGUGACAAGACCUAGAAAGGGAAAGUCUCCUGAUUAACAUGAAAGCCAAUUUUUGUGGACAUACUGUUUGAAGUCUCACCAUUCCACCACAAAAAGCAGGAAAGCUAACAAAAUCUCUCAACUAAAGAGACUCAGAGAUUACGAUGAAGAGCCGGUUCACACCCAUACUGCCUCCCAGUGAGGGUGAGCCUUCCCCACCACACAGAGCUGCCUCUGGGAAUGGCUGCCAGCUCUGAUUUCAGGAGUAACUGGGCUCAGAGAGCUGAAGACACUUGCCCAAGGCCACACAGCCUAGAUGUCGCAAUGCCCAUUUCCGCCUAACUCCUGGAGGAGGAAAAUGACUAAAUAACUCUAAUUUCGCUGCUAUUCAGUAAAAUUUAAUCCAGUCCUUCCUCCGCUUCUGCAGAUACACAAAGACUGCACUUUCCGGCACCCCUUUGAAGCUGGGCGUGACCAGGUGACC